UAAACAUUAUGGAGAAUGAUGAGAAGAUUUUAUCUUUUAUUAUAUAUUAUUAUAUAAUUAUUCUAAUAAAUACUGUUGUGAAUAAUCGUUUGCCCUCUCUGUGAGCAGGAGUGACCCUGACACUUGUCUGCUGCCUCUCAGCUCCCAUCAGUCCUAUCAGGGAAAGUAGGCCAUUCCCGAGCUACUCGAGUGUGAAGCGGACGUCUUUUUCUCUGAGCACAGUGGAAAGUUUACCUUGUGACCAAGGUGUGCUGCGGUGCUGAUUAUGCAAACAUCCCGCAGCCAGCAGGAGCCUGUACACACACGCACACGCAUGCAUGCAUUUACACCUGACUCAUACAUGACGUCACGUGCGACAGGUGCCUCCGUGGAUACAGCAGAGACCUGAGGCAGCGGAGGUGCGUGUGUGUGUGUGUGUGUGUGUGUGUGUGUGUGUGUGUGUGUGUGUGUAUGCAUGCGCUCUUUGAGUUGUUUGCAGUGUUUACACAUAACAGUGCAAUCGUUAGAGAGCGUAUCACGCAUCAGGGGAACUGGGAGAUGGCGAGCGCUAAGAGGAGCUGGUGAUGUCACUCAGUCAUAAGCAAGGAAAAUGUUGUGCAAUACCUGCGUCAUUCUGCACCAGGACAACAGCAGGUCGAAGCCGGGAGCCGGCUGGUCAACCUCUAAACAACAUCUGUCAUGUGGAGCCUGCGGUCAGCACAGAGGCAGCGGUGUGGAGCUGCUGGUUAGUCAAGGCCCAGUGACUUAUGCUGCAUUAGUAGGUGGAAAGCACCGUUCUCUCCAGCACAGGCAGAUAAUCUGAUGACUGUUAGAGGCACUUCAGAUGACCAAAUAUUGUGGUGCAGUCGUGAGUCACCCACAGACGACGCCCCACGGCGCGGCGGAUAGAAACUGGGAGCGUUCGGGACCCAACCAGCGCCAAAACCUCUGGAUCCUGGACAGCUCCAGAACCCUGAGACUCAUCCAAGAGGAAUCCGGGGACUUCUACCACAUGGAGACCUUGUUGUUGCCCUGACACAUGCAGGAGGGAAACGGAUGCUGUCUGAAAAUAUAAUGGUGGAGUUAAACGUUGCUCUCAGCGAGGAGACAGCUGAGC